AAAUACUAAGUUUGUUUUUCUUGAAUUUAUUUUCUUCUUUAGGAGUUUGGAAUGGAGGAAACAAAUUCAAAUAGUGUAGAGUUCGGAAUGGGAGAAUCAAGUGUUAUUGGAAGUGAAACUGCGGCCAAUUCUCUAAACAUAUGCUCGGGUGGUGGAUGUAUUGGUUUGUUCAAAAAGUCAUAUCUCAUGAUUAAUCGCUACCACUAACACAGGAACAAGCACAAGCAGCUCAGGUUCAUCCACAACUGUUGCUGAUUGUCUUGUAGCUGCUGAUGUAUUACUACAUUUUAUGUAUUAAGACUGAUUGUGUCUUGUAGCUGC